AGAGUUUGAUCAUGGCUCAGAACGAACGCUGGCGGCGUGCUUAACACAUGCAAGUCGAACGUGAUCCGGAGCUUGCUCCGGUGAAAGUGGCGCACGGGUGAGUAACGCGUGGAUAAUCUGCCCUGGUAUCUGGGAUAACAUCUCGAAAGGGGUGCUAAUACCGGAUAAGCCUACGGACUCCUCGGAGUCUGCAGGAAAAGGUGGCCUCUAUUUAUAAGCUACCGUAUCAGGAUGAGUCCGCGUACCAUUAGCUAGUUGGUGGGGUAAUGGCCUACCAAGGCGACGAUGGUUAGCUGGUCUGAGAGGAUGAUCAGCCUCACUGGAACUGAGACACGGUCCAGACUCCUACGGGAGGCAGCAGUGGGGAAUUUUGCGCAAUGGGGGAAACCCUGACGCAGCAACGCCGCGUGAGUGAUGAAGGCUUUCGGGUCGUAAAGCUCUGUCAGAGGGGAAGAAAUGGAAACGGUUAAUACCCGUUUUUCUUGACGGUACCCUCAAAGGAAGCACCGGCUAACUCCGUGCCAGCCGCCGCGGUAGUUC
rnacentral:rRNA from 1 species